GGAUGAUGUUGGAUAAUUCGAUGCAACGCGAAGAACCUUACCUACCCUUGACAUGUCCGGAACUUGCCAGAGAUGGCUUGGUGCCCGAAAGGGAAUCGGAACACAGGUGCUGCAUGGCUGUCGUCAGCUCGUGUCGUGAGAUGUUGGGUUAAGUCCCGCAACGAGCGCAACCCUUAUCAUUAGUUGCUACGCAAGGGCACUCUAAUGAGACUGCCGGUGACAAACCGGAGGAAGGUGGGGAUGACGUCAAGUCCUCAUGGCCCUUAUGGGUAGGGCUUCACACGUCAUACAAUGGUCGGUACAGAGGGUUGCCAAGCCGCGAGGCGGAGCCAAUCCCACAAAGCCGAUCGUAGUCCGGAUUGUUCUCUGCAACUCGAGAGCAUGAAGUCGGAAUCGCUAGUAAUCGCAGGUCAGCAUACUGCGGUGAAUACGUUCCCGGGUCUU
rnacentral:rRNA from 1 species